rnacentral:rRNA from 1 species
GAGUUUGAUCGUGGCUCAGAACGAACGUUAGCGGCGCGCCUAAGACAUGCAAGUCGAGCGAGAAAGGGCUUCGGCCCCGGUAAAGCGGCGCACGGGUGAGUAACACGUAGGUCAUCAACCCUCGAGUGGUGGAUAACCCUCCGAAAGGAGGGCUAAUACAGCAUGAUGCUAGCAAUAGCCAAAGCGAGCCUCUUCGUGAAAGCCCGCGCUGGAGGAUGAGCCUGCGGCCCAUCAGGUAGUUGGCGGAGUAACAGCCCACCAAGCCUAAGACGGGUAGCUGGUCUGAGAGGAUGAACAGCCACACUGGAACUGAGACACGGUCCAGACUCCUACGGGAGGCAGCAGUCGGGAAUCUUCCGCAAUGGGCGAAAGCCUGACGGAGCGACGCCGCGUGAGCGAUGAAGGCCUUC